AGAAUAAUGCCCGAUAGAACAUUAUACCUGGAACGGUUUAUGUUUCAAAUGAUUUGUCGCCGUAGGAUGGGACUGCGGCCUAUCAGUUUGUUGGUGAGGUAAUGGCCCACCAAGACUAUUACAGGUACGGGCUCUGAGAGGAGUAGCCCGGAGAUGGGUACUGAGACACGGACCCAGGCCCUAUGGGGCGCAGCAGGCGAGAAAACUUUGCAAUGUGCGAAAGCACGACAAGGUUAAUCCGAGUGGUUUCUGCUAAAGAAACCUUUUGCUAGUCCUAGAAACACUAGUGAAUAAGGGGUGGGCAAGUUCUGGUGUCAGCCGCCGCGGUAAAACCAGCACCUCAAGUGGUCAGGAUGAUUAUUGGGCCUAAAGCAUCCGUAGCCCGUUUUGUAAGUUUUCGGUUAAAUCCAUACGCUCAACGUAUGGGCUGCCGGGAAUACUGCAUAACUAGGAAGUGGGAGAGGUAGACGGUACUCGGGAGGAAGGGGUAAAAUCCUUUGAUCUCUUGAUGACCACCUGUGGCGAAGGCGGUCUACCAGAACACGUUCGACGGUGAGGGAUGAAAGCUGGGGGAGCAAACCGGAUUAGAUACCCGGGUAGUCCCAGCUGUAAACUAUGCAAACUCAGUGAUGCAUUGGCUUGUGGCCAAUGCAGUGCUGCAGGGAAGCCGUUAAGUUUGCCGCCUGGGAAGUACGUACGCAAGUAUGAAACUUAAAGGAAUUGGCGGGGGAGCACCACAAGGGGUGAAGCCU
rnacentral:rRNA from 1 species